rnacentral:tRNA from 1 species
GUUCCUGGACCAGGGAUCGAACCGGCAUCCCCUGCAUUGGCAGGCAGAUGCUUAACCACUGGACUACUAGGGA